GUGAGGAAUAUUGGUCAAUGGACGAGAGUCUGAACCAGCCAAGUCGCGUGAAGGAAGACGGUUCUAUGAAUUGUAAACUUCUUUUGUGCAGGAAUAAAGUGGGUUACGUGUAACCUUUUGUAUGUACUGUACGAAUAAGGAUCGGCUAACUCCGUGCCAGCAGCCGCGGUAAUACGGAGGAUCCGAGCGUUAUCCGGAUUUAUUGGGUUUAAAGGGUGCGUAGGUGGAUUGAUAAGUCAGCGGUGAAAGUUUGCAGCUUAACUGUAAAAUUGCAGUGGAAACUGUCGGUCUUGAGUGCAAAUGAGGUAGGCGGAAUGUGUUGUGUAGCGGUGAAAUGCUUAGAUAUAACACAGAACUCCGAUUGCGAAGGCAGCUUACUGGGAUGCAACUGACACUGAUGCACGAAAGCGUGGGUAUCAAACAGGAUUAGAAACCCCAGUAGUCC
rnacentral:rRNA from 1 species